GAUGAACGCUGGCGGCGUGCUUAACACAUGCAAGUCGAACGGAGAGCCUAUGACGGAGUUUUCGGACAACUGAUUAGGUUCUUAGUGGCGGACGGGUGAGUAACGCGUGAGGAACCUGCCUUGGAGUGGGGAAUAACACAGAGAAAUUUGUGCUAAUACCGCAUAAGACCACGAGGUCGCAUGGCCUUGAGGUAAAAGAUUUAUCGGUGUAGGGUGAGCUCGCGUCUGAUUAGCUAGUUGGUGAGGUAACGGCCCACCAAGGCGACGAUCAGUAGCCGACCUGAGAGGGUGAUCGGCCACAUUGGAACUGAGACACGGUCCAGACUCCUACGGGAGGCAGCAGUGGGGAAUAUUGGGCAAUGGGCGCAAGCCUGACCCAGCAACGCCGCGUGAAGGAAGAAGGUUUUCGGAUUGUAAACUUCUGUCCUUGGUGACGAAGAAAGUGACGGUAGCCAAGGAGGAAGCCCCGGCUAACUACGUG
rnacentral:rRNA from 1 species